UACGGAAGGUGCAAGCGUUAGUCGGAGUUAUUGGGCGUAAAGGGUGCGUAGGCGGUACAGAAAGUUGGAUGUGAAAUUCCGGGGCUUAACCUCGGAGCUGCAUCCAAAACUCCUGUACUUGAGGAAUGGUGGAGAAAACGGAAUUCCAUGUGUAGCGGUGAAAUGCGUAGAUAUAUGGAAGAACACCUGUGGCGAAAGCGGUUUUCUAACCUAAACCUGACGCUAAGGCACGAAAGCAAGGGGAGCAAACAGG
rnacentral:rRNA from 1 species